CACCGCAAAAAGGACGAGUCUACAGGUGACUAAGAUCUCCCGUCAGGUCUAGCCCUUUGAUCUCUUAUUCCCUGGAGGCAGAACCCCACUCUCAUGAGAGAUGCUAAAAAAUGCUAAUUUCCUUGAAGCAGAGUGUGGGAGUAUGACUCAUUUCUGGCCCAAGGAAACUGACUCAGAUCCCCUGAAAUCCACCAGACACUAUAGGCAAAGAUUUUCUUCCCUGAUGAAAGAGAUAUGGGAGAAGACCCCUUCUCCUCCUUUCCGUCUGUCUUUAAGUGCAGCUGGGUGAGACUGUGGUGCUUGGAGUUAGGGAACUCCCAGGGGAAACCCAAUAGAAGCGAAGCAGACAAGGGGACCCAGAGCCCUGAUAUCAUUGUGCUACUGAAGCAAGCCUGUGACUUCCUAUCACCCAACUUCUUGUUACAGAACUUCUGUUACCCUUUUCUCCAAUACAUUCAUAUUCGACUAUUGAUACUUAGAGCCCCAAACCUCCCCACUCAGCCUUCAUCUGCAGCCAUGUGUGUCUGGAACCAGUCCUGACUCUGGGACAGAGCAGUGGGAGGAAGCCUUGGCCACAUUCUGAGUCACUCAAGUCAUCGAGUCACUGCUCGUUGAGCUCCAGCAGCUGUGGACAAUCAGGAAGGUUCACAUUCACGUCAGCUCCGAUGGAUGGGCGGUGACUGAUGUGCUGUGCUGAGGGUUCUGAUGCUUUGAGUGAAGGGUUAAAUACAGGUUCUGCGUGCAGAAGUGCCUCCAGUCCUGUGCCAGACGACUGCCAGGCCUCAGGUUUACCCGCGCACGUUCAGAAGGUGUCCGGAAGCAGGAGCCCUGAGUUUGAGUCCCAGCUCUAUUGCCUACCGGCUCUGUGAUUUUGGUCAUUUAAUCUCCUCGAGCCAUCUUAUGGGAUAAUUGUUAUCCCUGAGAUGAUGAGAGUGACUGUGCUUUGUAAACCAUGAAGUGUCACACAUAUUUCAUCUUAUAUUUGUCAAACCUCAGCUCAGGACCAGCCUGACAGGAGGCAGGGAGAGGAGGAAGGAAUUCAAGUUUCCAGCCGUGGACAGUCCUUAACUGAACACCUGACCCGAUGGUGCUGGACCUGGGGUAUGGAAGCAGGACUAACACAAGGUUGGAGUUUCAGGUGAAAGUGACUCGGCAGAAGUGAGCUGUGAGCCUGACUGGUGAAAUGUAGCUGGAGAAGAUUCCAAAAGCAGAAAUGAAAUCGCUAAGGACAGAGACAGAAACCACAGACUGGAGACAGAAUCUCUGGGUUUUUUUUCCUGCCUCCAUACUGGAGGGAUACGGCUCCACCCAGCAGUACCAGUGGCUCCCUGAGGCCAAGGACCUCAAGGGAUGAGAGCGUGGAAGGAGUUCCAAAAUCUUGAGGGCAAAGGAGGGGGGAAGACCCCUCCCUUGGUGAGGCCACCCCCAAGCAGGGUACCUCCUUCCCAGUGCAGUGGACCAGAGGGGGAGCCCACGUGUGAGGGGAGACAGAAGCUGAGAGGAACUUUGGGUAAGCUACAGGUAUUAAGACGCUUCUUUUCUCCUCCCUGCUCCCCUGUGGCACGGCACAAACCCACUACAUUCCAGAAAAGCCCAGCACGUAAGAAGAAAUCAGGUCUUUGGCAAUAAAACUGAGUGAGAAAGGGGCAAGGGACUCCUAGCAUAACAAGAAUUACUCCGAGAAGCCCUCACUCUCCAGGUUAUUAAAAGUCCAAAUUGCCUUGUGAAGUCAGACCUAGAGGCCAGACUGAAGAGGUUUCCUUUAGCUACCCCCAUGUGGAUCUGACACCCUCAUCGGGCCCAUGUAGGAAAAGGGGGGGAAAAGGAUUGACUGACAAUUUCAGGCAAAACCAAGAGAAGGCUGAAACGCAGAACGAGGGGCAGAAUUCAAAGCUGUAUUUGUCCAUAGCUGUCUCUCUAAUGUCUGCAACAGACUGACACACAUAGCAGGCAGAGUGAGGA
ensembl:lncRNA